rnacentral:rRNA from 1 species
UACGUAGGUGGCAAGCGUUGUCCGGAAUUAUUUGGGCGUAAAGCGCGCGCAGGCGGUCCUUUAAGUCUGAUGUGAAAGCCCACGGCUCAACCGUGGAGGGUCAUUGGAAACUGGGGGGACUUGAGUGCAGGAGAGAAGAGUGGAAUUCCACGUGUAGCGGUGAAAUGCGUAGAGAUGUGGAGGAACACCAGUGGCGAAGGCGACUCUUUGGCCUGUAACUGACGUGAGGCGCGAAAGCGUGGGGAGCAAACGG